UACGUAGGGGGCAAGCGUUGUCCGGAAUCAUUGGGCGUAAAGCGCGUGUAGGCGGUUCGAUAAGUCUGCUGUGAAAGUCCAGGGCUCAACCCUGGGAUGCCGGUGGAUACUGUCGGGCUAGAGUGCGGAAGAGGCGAGUGGAAUUCCUGGUGUAGCGGUGAAAUGCGCAGAUAUCAGGAGGAACACCAGUGGCGAAGGCGACACGCUGGGCCAUACCUGACGCUAAAGCGCGACAGCAUGGGGAGCAAACGGG
rnacentral:rRNA from 1 species